rnacentral:rRNA from 1 species
GACGAACGCUUGCGGCGUGCUUAACACAUGCAAGUCGAACGGAAAGGCCCUGCUUUUGUGGGGUGCUCGAGUGGCGAACGGGUGAGUAACACGUGAGUAACCUGCCCUUGACUUUGGGAUAACUUCAGGAAACUGGGGCUAAUACCGGAUAGGAGCUCCUGCUGCAUGGUGGGGGUUGGAAAGUUUCGGCGGUUGGGGAUGGACUCGCGGCUUAUCAGCUUGUUGGUGGGGUAGUGGCUUACCAAGGCUUUGGCGGGUAGCCGGCCUGAGAGGGUGACCGGCCACAUUGGGACUGAGAUACGGCCCAGACUCCUACGGGAGGCAGCAGUGGGGAAUAUUGCACAAUGGGCGGAAGCCUGAUGCAGCAACGCCGCGUGCGGGAUGACGGCCUUCGGGUUGUAAACCGCUUUCGCCUGUGACGAAGCGUGAGUGACGGUAAGGGGUAAAGAAGCACCGGCUAACUACGUGCCAGCAGCCGCGGUGAUACGUAGGGUGCGAGCGUUGUCCGGAUUUAUUGGGCGUAAAGGGCUCGUAGGUGGUUGAUCGCGUCGGAAGUGUAAUCUUGGGGCUUAACCCUGAGCGUGCUUUCGAUACGGGUUGACUUGAGGAAGGUAGGGGAGAAUGGAAUUCCUGGUGGAGCGGUGGAAUGCGCAGAUAUCAGGAGGAACACCAGUGGCGAAGGCGGUUCUCUGGGCCUUUCCUGACGCUGAGGAGCGAAAGCGUGGGGAGCGAACAGGCUUAGAUACCCUGGUAGUCCACGCUGUAAACGGUGGGUACUAGGUGUGGGGUCCAUUCCACGGGUUCCGUGCCGUAGCUAACGCUUUAAGUACCCCGCCUGGGGAGUACGGCCGCAAGGCUAAAACUCAAAGGAAUUGACGGGGCCCCGCACAAGCGGCGGAGCAUGCGGAUUAAUUCGAUGCAACGCGUAGAACCUUACCUGGGUUUGACAUGGAUCGGGAGUGCUCAGAGAUGGGUGUGCCUCUUUUGGGGUCGGUUCACAGGUGGUGCAUGCCUGUCGUCAGCUCGUGUCGUGAGAUGUUGGGUUAAGUCCCGCAACGAGCGCAACCCUUGUUCACUGUUGCCAGCACGUUAUGGUGGGGACUCAGUGGAGACCGCCGGGGUCAACUCGGAGGAAGGUGGGGAUGACGUCAAGUCAUCAUGCCCCUUAUGUCCAGGGCUUCACGCAUGCUACAAUGGCUGGUACAGAGAGUGGCGAGCCUGUGAGGGUGAGCGAAUCUCGGAAAGCCGGUCUCAGUUCGGAUUGGGGUCUGCAACUCGACCUCAUGAAGUCGGAGUCGCUAGUAAUCGCAGAUCAGCAACGCUGCGGUGAAUACGUUCCCGGGGCU